rnacentral:rRNA from 1 species
CCUUGACAUACUAAGAACUUUCCAGAGAUGGAUUGGUGCCUUCGGGAACUUAGAUACAGGUGCUGCAUGGCUGUCGUCAGCUCGUGUCGUGAGAUGUUGGGUUAAGUCCCGNAACGAGCGCAACCCUUUUCCUUAUUUGCCAGCGGGUCAUGCCGGGAACUUUAAGGAUACUGCCAGUGACAAACUGGAGGAAGGCGGGGACGACGUCAAGUCAUCAUGGCCCUUACGGCCAGGGCUACACACGUGCUACAAUGGUCGGUACAAAGGGUUGCUACCUCGCGAGAGGAUGCUAAUCUCAAAAAGCCGAUCGUAGUCCGGAUCGCAGUCUGCAACUCGACUGCGUGAAGUCGGAAUCGCUAGUAAUCGCGGAUCAGAAUGCCGCGGUGAAUACGUUCCCGGGCCUUGUACACACCGCCCGUCACACCAUGGGAGUUUGUUGCACCAGAAGUGGGUAGUCUAACCGCAAGGAGGACGCUUACCACGGUGUGGCCGAUGACUGGGGUGAAGUCGUAACAAGGUAAGCGUAGAUGA